rnacentral:rRNA from 1 species
CUACGGGAGGCACCAGUGGGGAAUCUUAGACAAUGGGCGCAAGCCUGAUCUAGCCAUGCCGCGUGAGUGAUGAAGGCCUUAGGGUCGUAAAGCUCUUUCGCUGGGGAAGAUAAUGACGGUACCCAGUAAAGAAACCCCGGCUAACUCCGUGCCAGCAGCCGCGGUAAUACGGAGGGGGUUAGCGUUGUUCGGAAUUACUGGGCGUAAAGCGCGCGUAGGCGGACUGUUAAGUCGGGGGUGAAAUCCCGGGGCUCAACCCCGGAACGGCCUUCGAUACUGGCAGUCUGGAGUUCGAGAGAGGUGAGUGGAAUUCCGAGUGUAGAGGUGAAAUUCGUAGAUAUUCGGAGGAACACCAGUGGCGAAGGCGGCUCACUGGCUCGAUACUGACGCUGAGGUGCGAAAGUGUGGGGAGCGAACAGGAUUAGAUACCCCCGUAGUC